rnacentral:rRNA from 1 species
AUGGCUUGUGACGAGUGCCGCGGUCCGAACCAUAAACAGAAAGAUUGCCCCACACUACCCUGUCACAACUGUGGGGGAACUCUUCACACCCGAGGCACUUGCUGUUACACGGAUCCUGUUUACCGCGUUGGAGAAAGAUGUCCCAGAUGUGGUGGUUUUCAACACGGGGUACCCGGCAAGCCCCCCUGCCCAGUCCAAGAAGCUCAUGCUCGCCCGCCUAUGUGCCCGCGGUGUCAAGUGCCACAUCGUCCAAGAGACUGCCCUCAUCGUGGAGCCGAAUAUUCCGGGUGGACAAGCUCCGACAGAUGCACGCAAUGCAAUGAAACUGGUCAUUUUUUCCCCGACUGCCCUAACAAAUACUAG